rnacentral:rRNA from 1 species
CAUCUGCGUGAGCAGGGCUGCGUGUCAAGUCUAUGGACUCGACUCUUGCACAUCUACGUCUUAGGUUUGCGCCAAUUCGUGGUAAGCUUGGGUCAUAGAGACUCAUAGGUGUUAUAAAGACUCGCUGGUGUUUGUCUCCUUGAGGCAUACGGCUUUAACCAAAACUCUCAAAGUUUGACCUCAAAUCAGGUAGGAGUACCCGCUGAACUUAAGCAUAUCAAUAAGCGGAGGAAAAGAAACCAACCGGGAUUGCCUUAGUAACGGCGAGUGAAGCGGCAAAAGCUCAAAUUUGAAAUCUGGCGUCUUCGACGUCCGAGUUGUAAUUUGAAGAAGGCGACUUUGUAGCUGGUCCUUGUCUAUGUUCCUUGGAACAGGACGUCAUAGAGGGUGAGAAUCCCGUGUGGCGAGGAUCCCAGUUAUUUGUAAAGUGCUUUCGACGAGUCGAGUUGUUUGGGAAUGCAGCUCUAAGUGGGUGGUAAAUUCCAUCUAAAGCUAAAUAUUGGCGAGAGACCGAUAGCGAACAAGUACAGUGAUGGAAAGAUGAAAAGAACUUUGAAAAGAGAGUGAAAAAGUACGUGAAAUUGUUGAAAGGGAAGGGCAUUUGAUCAGACAUGGCGUUUGCUUCGGCUUUCGCUGGGCCAGCAUCAGUUUUAGCGGUUGGAUAAAUCCUCGGGAAUGUGGCUCUGCUUCGGUAGAGUGUUAUAGCCCGUGGGAAUACAGCCAGCUGGGACUGAGGAUUGCGACUUUUGUCAAGGAUGCUGGCGUAAUGGUUAAAUGCCGCCCGUCUUGAAACACGGACCAAGGAGUCUAACGUCUAUGCGAGUGUUUGGGUGUAAAACCCGUACGCGUAAUGAAAGUGAACGUAGGUGAGGGCCCGCAAGGGUGCAUCAUCGACCGAUCCUGAUGUCUUCGGAUGGAUUUGAG